rnacentral:lncRNA from 1 species
UUUUUUUUUGUUAAUAUUACACUUUUCAUCCAAAUUAGAACUGAACUCUCUUUGUUAAAUAUCUACCACAAAAUGCACUAGAAUUUUGCAAUCUAUAUAAACAGGUGGAAGAAACAUUUCAACAAACAGUUAAAGGGUAUCAUUUACGGUAAAGGCCAAAUAUUCGAUAAAAGAAAAAUUAUUGAAAUAAAACAUUUUACAUGUUGAGGUUAAGAAUGAGCUAUUUUUAGGUACAU